UACGUAGGUGGCGAGCGUUAUCCGGAUUUAUUGGGCGUAAAGCGUCCGCAGCCGGCUUAUUAAGUCUAGAAUAAAAGCCUGGAGCUUAACUCCAGUUCGUUCUAGAAACUGGUAGGCUUGAGUGUGGUAGAGGCAAGUGGAAUUUCUAGUGUAGCGGUAGAAUGCGUAGAUAUUAGAAGGAACACCAGUGGCGAAGGCGACUUGCUGGGCCAUUACUGACGGUCAGGGACGAAAGCGUGGGGAGCAAAUAGG
rnacentral:rRNA from 1 species